UAACAUAAAUCAGUUUAAACUAAGAAGGGAGUUUAAUUGCCACAUCCGUGACUCAGCAGCUGGCACACAUUUGUGUUUGCUGUCUCUGCAGGAAGGGGUGUCCCUUCUUCAGCCGCUGCGGUGAAAUCCAUGGGGGCAGCGAGCAGGAGCCCCGGCAGUGCCUACGCUGCAGUGGCCUGGUUUGUGCAGAUGCUUUGGAGAAGUGAGCUCCUGUGCCUCUAACGGGGUCAUUCCAGCAGCGUCAGCUACGGGAUCAAUCAACCUGGGUGUGCUCCUGGGUGGUUAGCCCUGGUUCUCUGUGGCUGUCCUCUUAGUCAGCCUGACUUCACUCCGUUAAAGCUCUGGCUACCUGAGCUGCAGCCCCUCAAGCACAGAGAAACCCAAGUCCAUUUCCCAUUUCGCUGUACGUUUAAUCAGAGGCCUCUCAGAAGUUUUAGACUGUAGUCUUUUCCCUGUGUAUUCUUACUAUGUUUAUUUAAGAUUUAACUUUAUGAGCAGUUUUCCUUUAUCUCCGUAUACACAGCACAAAUUCGGUCUGUUCCCUCAGCUUUUGCAUGCAGCUGGUUUGACUGAUCUAACGUUGCUGAUUUACCAGUAUAAUACAGCUUGUCUGAAAAGAAGGAAGAAUGAUGUUGGCUGAAGUAAAAUUCUGAGAUGCCUGUGGAGUUUUAUUGCCCUUGAUUCUUGGGUUGCCAUUUAUUUAAAAAAGUAUGCAGAACUCUGACUUUAGAUUUUUCAGGAAUGCCUACAUUAUGUCAGUGUUGCAAAUUCUUUGAGUCAAGUCAUUGUGGUUACCCAAUCUUGUUUUUUUGUCUCUGUGGUAAGAUUUUAAAUCCAGAAGGCUAACCUCAGUGCUCCCCCAAGAAAGCAGGCAGAGAUGACGAUGCAUUUCCUUUUUUGACCUCUGCAGUCAAGUUUUAUAGAAAGAUGGAAUCUAUAGAAAUCAGACCAAACGCCAAAUCACCUGCAUGAGGACGAAAGGGUCAAACCUGUUUCUGUAGAAAUCCGUGGGGAAAAAAUGUACUGAAACAUAUUUUUUAAACUAAUUCAUAUUUAAAAAUUGGUUUUUUUUACUAAAUUCAGACUAAGAACUGUA
rnacentral:lncRNA from 1 species